rnacentral:rRNA from 1 species
UACGUAGGGUGCGAGCGUUGUCCGGAAUUACUGGGCGUAAAGCGCGUGUAGGUGGUUCUGUAAGUAGGGCGUGAAAGCUCCCGGCUCAACUGGGAGAGGCCGUUCUAAACUGCAGAGCUAGAGGAUGGUAGAGGGAGGUGGAAUUCCAGGUGUAGCGGUGGAAUGCGCAGAUAUCUGGAGGAACACCGAUGGCGAAGGCAGGUCUCUGGGCAGUAACUGACGCUGAGGAGCGAAAGCAUGGGUAGCGAACAGGAUUAGA